CCGGGAUAGCUCAGUUGGUAGAGCAGWGRACUGAAAAUCCUCGUGUCA
rnacentral:tRNA from 1 species